rnacentral:rRNA from 1 species
ACGACUCUCGGCAACGGAUAUCUCGGCUCUCGCAUCGAUGAAGAACGUAGCGAAAUGCGAUACUUGGUGUGAAUUGCAGAAUCCCGCGAACCAUCGAGUCUUUGAACGCAAGUUGCGCCCGAGGCCGCCCGGCCGAGGGCACGCCUGCCUGGGCGUCACGCAUCGUGCU